rnacentral:rRNA from 1 species
UACAGAGGUCUCAAGCGUUGUUCGGAUUCAUUGGGCGUAAAGGGCGUGUAGGUGGCAUGGUAAGUCGGAUGUGAAAUCCCGGGGCUCAACCCCGGAACUGCAUUCGAUACUGCUGCGCUAGAGUACUGGAGAGGAGAUUGGAAUUUACGGUGUAGCAGUGAAAUGCGUAGAUAUCGUAAGGAAGACCAGUGGCGAAGGCGGAUCUCUGGACAGUUACUGACACUGAGGCACGAAGGCCAGGGGAGCAAACGGG